rnacentral:misc_RNA from 1 species
AUGGCGUUAGUCAGCAAGACAAGAGAUGUCUUUCUCUGGUGUAUGUCUGUUAUUUAUCUAUUUGCAUUUGCGUCAUAUUAUGUGCAAAUUCCAGGUCUUUUGGGAGACAAUGGAAUUCUACCAGCCAGAGUUGUUAAGCUCAAAGAGGUCAAUUCAGUUGUGGAUUUCUUCCAAGGGGAAUUCACUCUGCUGCGGCUGAUGCCCUUCAUUGGGCUCACCCGAGAGACAGGAAUGGACCUGCUGUGCCUACUGGGUAUUCUCUUGUCAUUCCUGUGUAUGGUGAUGAAGUCUUUCCGGAACAGUGUAGAAUAUAGCUUCCUUUGGCUGCUCUACAUAUCUUUGUACUCAGUUGGCCAAACAUUUUUCUACUUCCAGUGGGACAUUCUUCUCUUAGAAGCAGGUUUUAUCACCAUUCUGGUAGCGCCGUUGAAUAUGUAUAUAUUUUUCUGGAAAACAGCUCCAUACCACCAUCAUGACAACAUCACGCUGUUUCUCAUCAAAUGGUUACUGUUUCGUUUGAUGUUCGCUUCUGGUGUGGUCAAGUUGACCAGCAUGUGUCCAACUUGGUGGGGAUUAACAGCUCUCAAUUACCAUUUUGAAUCGCAGUGUAUUCCAACUCAGCUAGCCUGGUUUACCCACCAUUUACCAAAUUGGUUACUCCGAAUAAGUGUCACCUUAACAUAUGUGAUUGAAAUUUUUCUGCCAUUCCUAUUCUUUUCUUCAAUACGCCAUCUACGAAUGCUUUCAUUCUAUGCACAGGUACUUCUUCAAAUAAUGAUAAUUCUAACAGGAAACUACAAUUUUUUCAAUUUGCUUACAAUUACACUGUGCAUUUCAUUAGUGGAUGAUGACUUUUUCAGGAAACGAAUAAGUCACCCUCCCGAAGCUAAGUCCAUUUGGAAUCGAGUGGCAGACUGGAUUAUCACAAUUGUUGUCUAUGUCUUCCUUGGCUAUGUAUUGGUGGUCUAUUUUACUUUGAGAUUAGGACCAGGUUACACGUCACUUAAAACACAAAUAGCUUUUACGAAAAAGGAAUUCUCUGAUCUGCUGGCGAAAGUCGUACCUAUUACAAUAUAUAUCGGGGCUGUGGCCUUAGGUAUUGAGGUGCUCAUUUCUUUUGUCAGAUGUUGGAAGAAUGAGAAAGGACUUGUGCGUAAACUUUUUGCUUCAGUUGGAGUGACGCUAGUUGCAGUUCUUGCUGCCAUCAUGUUUGCUAUCAGUUUGGUACCGUAUACUUCCAUAGAUGUUGGCAGUAAUUCUAAGUUACCAGCACACUUAAAGAUUUUACACAGCAGAUUAGACAGACUUGAAAUAACGAGCCAUUAUGGUCUAUUCAGAGUGGACCUUACUCCUUUGUUUGGGAGGGGUGUCAGAGGCAGGAUGACUGGUGUUGGCGGCCGACCUGAGGUUAUCAUUGAAGGAAGCAAUGAUAUGAAAGCAUGGAAAGAAUACCAUUUUCUUUACAAACCAGGAAAUGUUUCUCGAAGUCCACCAGUUGUUUCACCUCAUCAACCGCGUUUGGAUUGGCAGAUGUGGUUUGCUGCGCUGAGUGAUUUCCAGAACAAUCCAUGGCUCUUAACUCUUUGCUACCGGCUGCUAACUGGACAAAAGGAAGUAUUACAGCUUAUGGACGAUAAUCCUUUCCCAGACAAACCUCCGGUCUACUUGCGUGCCACACUUUACCAUUAUCACUACACAAGUCCUUACAUCAUGAGCAAAAAAUACUCCAAAGACAGUUGGUGGGUCAGAGAGAAGGUCAGCAGCUACAUACCAAUAAUUGACAAGAAUGACCAGGGUUUACUGCAGUGGUUACAACAAAAUAACAUCUUUGAGCCCAUUGACUCUCAGAGCAAUGCAAAUUGGUUGAUGAAAUCUUUGACAGCGAUACGAGAACUAGUUGGACAGCCAGAUGGAUUCCUCGUGACGAUAUCUCUAUUUUGUACUGGAUUUGUCAUGAAUGUCACUAAGUAUUUCUUAUUUUAAGCUGUGCUGCCCUUUUACAUGUUCCUCUGUCUUUCAUCAUUUGGUUUAGUUUUUUUUUUCUUUUAAUUUUUUUUUUUAGUUUCCUUCUAUCCUUUUUCUCCAUCUGUUCUUCCCCUCCUACCAUCCUAUCCACACUCACCUCUCCGUAUCUGCCUUUGUUCCCCCUGUACUCUUUCUUUUCUUUCUUCUGCUUUGUGAAAUUUCUCUGUGAGACGGUUCCAUUGUCUUAAAAAAAAACCUGCUGUCAGUCAGGUCAUAGACUAAACCAUUCAAUAAGAACAAGCAACAACGAUGACAUGACGACUAAAGCAGCGGAUUAUCAAGGAUUAACAGCAACGUCGACGAUGACUACAACAACAACAACAACAACACAGCAGCAGCAUAUUGUAAAGAACUGCAACAGAAACAUAACUGAUAAUGACACCACCACCCCCAACAACAACAACAACAACAACAUCAUUUCUAAACAACACUUGCAAUGGCAGAACUCUAUUAGCAGUAACAUCACCAACAAUAAUAAUGAGGAACACUACAACAACAGUAACAUCAACCACCACUUCCACCACCACCACUACCAUUGACAUGUAACUUAACAAUUAUCUAAAGUAAAAUAAAAAGAAGAAAAAAAAUUUUUUAAUAUAUAAAAAAAAAGAUGACAAAAAAUAGGCAAUAAAUCAGUAUUUUUACCCCCUAAUAGAUUUUUUUUCCCUUUUUUUUUUCUUUCCUAUUAUCCAUAACCUAUUUUGUAUAGGAUUUGAAUGUUGCUCAAGUCGACAUUGCCUUUUCAUCUUUCUGAGUUUGAUAAAAUAAAUGUCAAUGAAACAAUUACUGGUGUGGAUAUAGUUGAUUAUACAAUACCACUGAAGAUGGUUAUCAGCAUGGUUUACAGUCCAAUAACUGGAACCAAGGGAAGAAGAAAAAACUGAUAAAAAAACUAGGGGGGUUUAUUGUAUUUUAAGGAUUGUGGUCUUUUGGAAAGUUAUUAGCCUUUUUCUGAACAAUGCUGGAAGUAUGGUAAACAUAUUGUGAACAAUUCUUGUUAGCAUGGUAAAUAUUGUGAACAGUGCUUCUUAGCAUGGUAAACAUUGUAAACAAUGCUUGUUAGCAUUGUAAACAUCCAUGAACAAUGCUAGAAGUACAGUAAACAUUUGUAAACAAUACUGUAAGCAUGGUAAACGUUUGUGAACCACACUGUAAGUAUUAAGAAUGAUUGUAAGUAUUAAGAAUGUAAGUAUUAAGUAUGAACAAUGCUUAUUAGCACUUUAAGCAUUUGUGAACAAUGUUUUAAGCAUGGUAAACAUUUGUGAACAAUACUGGACGUAUGAUAAACUUUGUUGACCAUACUGUGUGAAGAAUGCUGUAUGGUAAACAUUUGUGGACAAUGCUUUAAGCAUAGUAAACAUUGGUGAACAAUGCUUUAAGCAUAGUAAACAUUGGUGAACAAUGCUCUAAGCAUGGCAAACAGUAAAGGGUACUAUAUGCAUUGUAAACAUUUAUGAACAAAACUUAUGAGCACGUUUAUGAAGAAUGUUGUUAGCCUGGUAAACAGUUGUAAGCAAAGCUUACAAAUGCAGGAUAUAUUAGUGAACAAUGUUAGCAUGGACAAUAUUUACAGUGAGCAUGAUAAACAUUUAUGAGCAAUGCUUGUUUUAAAGGUAAACAUGAACAAUACUAUAAACUGGGUAAUCAUUUGUAAACAAUGAUUUAAGACCAGUACACCUGUAUGAACUCUGAACUAUUUGUUGGCUCAGUAAACUUUUGUAAAUAAUACUGUGAAACAUUCAUGGACACCACUCAUAAGCAUAGUAAACAGUUGUGAACAAUGCUUAUUAACUGAGUAAACAAAUGAUGUAAACAUAGGAAACAUUGGUGAACAGUGCUCAUAACCAUAGAAAACGGUAGAGAACAGUGCUGUAAGCAUAGUAAACAUUUGUGAACAAUGCUCAUAAGCAUAGUAAACAGUUGUAACAUUUGUUAACUGUUCUCAUAAGCAUCGCAAACAGUUGUGAACAAUGCUUGUUAUCUCAGUAAACAAAUGUGAACAACUGUGUAAACAUUUGUGAACAGUACUCAUAAGAAUGGUAAAUAGUGGUGAACAAUGCUAUAAGCAUUGUAAACAUUUGUGAAUAAUGCCCAUAAGUACAGUAAAGAAUUCUUGUUAAAAUGGAGUUUUCUUGAACCCAUUGAGUACAGUUGAUGAGUGAAAAUACUGCUUUGAAGUUUGAACCUGUUGUUAUCAAUACUAAUAAAUGCACUGUAACUUAAAAAAAAAGAAGGAAUAUUUU